UACGGAGGGUGCAAGCGUUGCUCGGAAUUAUUGGGCGUAAAGGGUAGGUAGGUGGUCUCAUUUGUCUGAGGUGAAAGCCUUGGGCUUAACCCAAGAAGGGCCUCAGAAACGGUGAGACUAGAGUACUGGAGAGGGUCGUGGAAUUCCCGGUGUAGCGGUGAAAUGCGUAGAGAUCGGGAGGAACACCAGAGGCGAAGGCGGCGACCUGGACAGUAACUGACACUCAACUACGAAAGCGUGGGGAGCAAACAGG
rnacentral:rRNA from 1 species